AAUGGGAUAGUUGGGUCAUGUGGUGGUUCCAUUUCUAAUUUUUUGAGGAAUCUAUAUACUAUUUUCCAAAGUGUUUAUGCUACUUUGUCAUCCUACUAACAAU
rnacentral:pre_miRNA from 1 species